rnacentral:rRNA from 1 species
CACGGGGGGAGCAAGCGUUGUUCGGAAUCACUGGGCGUAAAGGGCGCGUAGGCGGCUUGGCAAGUGGAUGGUGAAAUCCCUCGGCUUAACCGAGGAACUGCCGUCCAAACUGCUUCGCUUGAGACCGGGAGAGGUGAGUGGAAUUCCCAGUGUAGCGGUGAAAUGCGUAGAUAUUGGGAGGAACACCAGUGGCGAAGGCGGCUCACUGGACCGGUACUGACGCUGAUGCGCGAAAGCGUGGGGAGCAAACGGG